rnacentral:rRNA from 1 species
UAUAGGGAGUGACACGUGACCAAUGCCGAAAGGUCAAUCGGAUCCGUUAGCAGCAAUGCGAAGCGGUGAUGUGAAGCCCCGGUGAAUGUCGGCCGUAACUAUAACGGUCCUAAGGUAGCGAAAUUCCUUGUCGGGUAAGUUCCGACCUGCACGAAUCGUGUAACGAUCGCGGCACUGUCUCGAAGUGGAGCUCGGCGAAGUUGUAAUUCCGGUGAAAAUGCCGGAUACCUGCAGUAGGACGGAAAGACCCUGUGAACCUUUACUGUAAUCUGAUAUUGGCAUUCGGGUGUUAAUGUGUAGGAUAGGUGGGAGGCUGCGAAGCAGGAGCGCUAGCUCCUGUGGAGCCAACGGUGAAAUACCACCCUUUAUAACUUGAAUGUCUAACCCUUGUACCGUGAAUCCGGUCGGGAGACAGUGUCAGAGGGUCAGUUUGACUGGGGCGGUUUCCUCCAAAAUUGUAACGGAGGAGCACGAAGGUACACUCAGAGCGGUUGGCAAUCGUUCGAAGAGCGUAAGGGUAUAAGUGUGCUUAACUGCGAGACAGACACGUCGAGCAGAUACGAAAGUAGGUCCUAGUGAUCCAGCGAUGGAACGUGGAAUCGUCGUUGCUCAACGGACAAAAGGUACUCCGGGGAUAACAGGCUGAUAGCGCCCAAGCGUCCAUAGCGACGGCGCUGUUUGGCACCUCGAUGUCGGCUCAUCUCAUCCUGGGGCUGUAGAAGGUCCCAAGGGUCCGGCUGUUCGCCGGUUAAAGAGGUACGCGAGCUGGGUUCAGAACGUCGCAAGACAGUUCGGUCCUUAUCCACUGUGGGCGCAGGACAUUUGACAAGAUCAUUCCUUAGUACGAGAGGACCGGGAAUGACUGACCUCUGGUAUUCCAAUUGUGUGUAAACACGCAGCGUUGGGUAGCUAUGUCGGGAAAGGAUAAGCGCUGAAAGCAUCUAAGCGCGAAGCCCCCCUGAAGACUAGAUAUCCCUGAAUAGUAAUAUUCCUGAAGGCGGGUCGUAGACGACGACCUCAAUAGGCUGGAGGUGUAAGAACAGCAAUGUUUUCAGCUUACCAGUACUAAUCCGCCGUGAGGCUUGACCAC